rnacentral:rRNA from 1 species
GAUGAACGCUGGCGGCGUGCCUAAUACAUGCAAGUCGAGCGAACAGACGAGAGUGCUUGCACUCUCUGACGUUAGCGGCGGACGGGUGAGUAACACGUGGGUAACCUACCUAUAAGACUGGGAUAACUUCGGGAAACCGGAGCUAAUACCGGAUAAUAUUUAGCUUCGCAUGAAGCAAUAGUGAAAGACGGUUCUGCUGUCACUUAUAGAUGGACCCGCGGUGUAUUAGCUAGUUGGUGAGGUAACGGCUCACCAAGGCAACGAUACAUAGCCGACCUGAGAGGGUGAGCGGCCACACGUGGACUGAGACACGGACCAGACUCAUACGGGAGGCAGCAGUAGGGAAUCUUCCGAAAUGGACGAAAGUCUGACGGAGCAAUGCAGAGUGAGUGAAGAAGGUUUUCGGAUCGUAAAACUCUGUUGUAAGGGAAGAACAAGUACGUUAGUAACUGAACGUACCUUGACGGGACCUUACCAGAAAGCCACGGCUAACUACGUG